rnacentral:rRNA from 1 species
CCUGAACGCUGGCGGCGUGGCUAAGACAUGCAAGUCGCACGGACCCGCAAGGGUUAGUGGCGAACGGGUGAGUAAUGAAUCGCUAAUGUACCCCGGACUCUGGGAUAGCCGGCCGAAAGGCCGGGUAAUACCAGAUGAUAUAACCGCUCCGCAUGGAGUGGUUCUCAAAGGUCCGCCGGUCUGGGAGCAGGCGAUUUCGUAUCAGCUAGUUGGUGAGGUAACGGCUCACCAAGGCGACGACGCGUAGCCGGACUGAGAGGUUGGCCGGCCACAUUGGGACUGAGACACGGCCCAAACUCCUACGGGAGGCAGCAGUGGGGAAUAUUGGACAAUGGGCGCAAGCCUGAUCCAGCCAUGCCGCGUGAGUGAUGAA